rnacentral:misc_RNA from 1 species
GAAAUGCGAUAAGUAAUGUGAAUUGCAGAAUUCAGUGAAUCAUCGAAUCUUUGAACGCACCUUGCGCUCCUUGGUAUUCCUCGGAGCAUGCCUGUUUGAGUAUCAUGAAACUCUCAAAGAAAAUCUUUUGUUAAUUCAAUUGGUUUGCUUUGGACUUGGAGGUUCUUGCAGAUUCACUUCUGCUCCUCUUAAAUAUAUUAGCUGGAUCUCAGUAUAUGCUCGGUUCCACUCGGCGUGAUAAGUAUCACUCGCUGAGGACACUGUAAAAAGGUGGCCGGGAAAUACAGAUGAACUGCUUCAAACAGUCCAUUCACUUGGACAAAAUAAGUUUUAAGAUCUGAUCUCAAAUCAGGUAGGACUACCCGCUGAACUUAA